AUGUCUGCUAAUUGCUUUAGGGCGGAUUGGCACCGAUUUGUCGAAAUUCUCAAGGACACCGGAGGAAAUUGUAGGUUUGUUGAGUAUUUUGUGCCCUAUGUGUUUGGAAAUCAACUGAGCGAGUAUUUUUAAUUGCUUGUAGCCGAGAGAAAAAGCAUAGAACUGUAGAGGCUCGCACUGGCCGACUUGAAGCAGUCGACAGCCUAUGUAAGUACAUUCGACCGCGAACUGGAAGAAGUCGGUUUCUCGGGUGGCGAAAGGUGCUUGGAGGUAGCUGGUAAAAAGAGAGAAAAAUAAGGAGAGGAAACAGCUGACAGAGGAACCCGAGGUCAAAUGGCGGAAAGCAGAUAUAAUGCUAGGACGAUGCCCUGAUUGCGAGAGGCAGCAGGAGCUGGGAGGCAGGAUGGUCUAGAAAAUGCCUAUCGAAGAAUGAAAGCCCAGAGCGGAAUGAAGCAUGGAUUGCUUUUAACGGUUUCCCGAAGAAUAGAGGCGCCUGGUAGAAUGGAGCGCGAUAGUGGCUUGUGCCAGCACGGAAUUCCCCCGCGCGAAGCCUCGGGACGUCCUGGAAGCGCCAGAGCCCAAGAGUACCACUCGAAGGAGGCUGGAGUCUCGAUAAAACAUUGAGCUCGAAAAAUGCAGCUCCAUAAAAAUUCCAUCCGCCAUUAUACCUCGGAAUCUUGAGGGGGAUAUCGGUUAUUACUAAGGCUGCAGCACUUUCAACGGAACGCGUCGCGAUGCGAAUGCUCAAGAGGAAAAGCAAGGCAGCUGCGGCAGGAGGCUUCACGGAGCUUUGCGAGAAGCCGGAGCAGGAGUCAGCACGAGCUUAGGUUGUCAUAAAGAAGUGAAAAGGAGGAAGGGAAGCCACUAGGAUAGACCAGGAAAAGAGGAAUCGCCUGGAGAAUCAUAAUGAGCGAUCGAACCUUUUAUGGACUCGAAGCUCCAUUCAAUCGUGACCGUAUACUUUGCCCUGACGAAAGCCCCUUGCGCAGAAAGUUUUGAAAAAUUGAGAGAAGAAGAAACGGAAAAGUAAAGCACCUGCGAAGAGAGGGAGGCAGCGGAAUAGGGCUGGAAAGUCGCUGGCACGUAUCAACAUAACGCCUCGUAACGUGAGCUGUUGGUGCCUCAAGGCAUUUGGCUGCUCCUGGUCGACCGUGCGGCUCCUGGAAGAUUGCUUCGGCAGAACUAAGAACGGCGAGC